GGCUUAGUGGCUUAGUGGCUAGCACGUUUGCCUCGCACCUACAGGGUCGGGGGUUCAAAUCCUGCCUCUGCCC